GUCUGUGUUUCACUAUUGUUCCUCUGUACAUAGGUUGAAACUUGAAAGCAUGUUGGUAUCAAAGUGCAUGCGGUCCUUAGCACACAGACCCCACUAAGCUCAUUUCCUACCCGAACGCAGAGCUCAGUUUAAAAGUUAAUUCCUCCCCUGCAGAGGUUAUGGGUUACGGCUAUAUUCCCUCCUUUAAUGAGGGUGAAUACUGCUGUGCUGGGAAUAUUUCCAUGGCCAAAUUAAACUCUUGAAGUAAGCCCAGCAUAGCCAAGAGAAAGCUCUGCAACCUUUCCUUACCUCUCCUUACGGUCUGACCUCACCACAGCAGACUUAAGCCCGUAGCUGGGAACAAAGCACGGGGCCCAAUUCUGCCCUCAGAUACACAGGGGCAAGUCUGCCUUCUCCGGGAGGAUGCUCAGGUACUACUGAAGGCAUUGCUGGACCACAGUCUUUGUAGUCUACCAGACUGGAAGCCAUGUGUACUGAGGGAGUCUUUUAGCUUAGUAUGUCUGGUGUUUUCCUUUCCUUUUCUUUCUUUUUUUUUCUUUCUUUUUUUUUCCUUGUGUUUUACCAAGCCCUCAAGAAGGCCUUUGAACUGACACACACAAAAAAUGAAAAAAAAAAAAAAAAAAAAAAAAAAAAAAAAAAAAGAGGAAGUUUUGUUAGUCGGACUGCUCCAUCGCUGUGUGUUACAGGAAUUUCUGUACUUUCCACAGGGCAGCAAGCACUUGGCACUGCAACACUUUCACCCUGCCCCCUGGCCACUUCCUCGAAGGAAGGGAAAGGAGUGAUGAAAUCUGCCCCUGUGGGAUACAGGGCUGAGUCUCUGGGGCCGUCCCCACCAGUUUGUGGGGCAAAACCCGGCAGGACGUGCCCGGGGGGCUCCCCCCUGAGUGUCCCCAGCCCCCUUAGCCCUCUGUGGGCCCGCUGGAGGCCGCCAUGGCCGCCUCCUCCCCCGGGCCCCCCGAGGGCGGGAGGAAAAUGGCCGCCAUGGCCUCUGGGCUGAGGGGGCCGGGCUGCCCUCUGCCGGCCUCAGGGGGAAAAGGGGAGCGGGGAGGUGGGCACAAAGUCAGCGCCGGGGUGCUUCGGAGUCAGGCCUGCCCCCUUCCAGAGCCCUAAAACAUUUUAGGGAGCACAGGGCUUUCAUUCUGCCAUCCAAAGGGGGAGGUGGAGGGGUUACCCCAGCCUCUGAGGUUCCGCAGCCCGCCAGCUUCACAGCAGCAUCCAUGCCCUGCAACCAUCAGGACCCGACUGUUUGUAAUGAGGAAGAAAAUUUUCAUAAAUAUCUGCCGACUCCAACAGAACGGGAGUCAAAAAAAAAGCUUAUUGCAGAAUUUGGGGUAAUUUUCAAGCUUGUCAUUGCUGCAACAUAAAUAGGGAAGUGCUCUUUAUGUUGGGGAAGGGAAAUUGUACAAAGCAUUUUAAGGGAGGAUGUAGUGUCUUUAAAUAUAAUUAAUUUCCCGGUCUGAAGACUUUCACCCUACAGUCACACAGUUUUUUUUGCUGGUGUAUAUUAUUUCAGCAGGCACUUUGGAUUUUUUUAGCUCCAAAAUAAAUGAAUGUGAGUGAGAGAUUUGCA
rnacentral:lncRNA from 1 species